CCUACGGGUGGCAGCAGUGGGGAAUAUUGCACAAUGGGGGAAACCCUGAUGCAGCGACGCCGCGUGAGUGAAGAAGUAUUUCGGUAUGUAAAGCUCUAUCAGCAGGAACGAGACAAGACGGUACUUUACAAGAAAGCCCCGGCUAACUAUGUGCCAGCAGCCGCGGUAAGACAUAGGGGGCAAGCGUUGUUCGGAAUUACUGGGCGUAGAGGGAGCGGAGGCGGGAGAUUAAGUUAAGAGUGAAAGCCUUGGGCUCAACCCAAGAAAUGAUCUUAAUACUGGUUUUCUAGAGUGUGGGAGAGGUAAGUGGAAUUCCUAGUGUAGCGGUAGAAUGCGUAGAGAUUAGGAGGAACAUCAGAGGCGAAGGCGGCUUACUGGACCAUAACUGACGCUGAGGCUCGAAAGCGUGGGGAGCAAACAGGAUUAGAUACCCCGGUAGUC
rnacentral:rRNA from 1 species